rnacentral:rRNA from 1 species
UGGGGAAUAUUGGACAAUGGGGGAAACCCUGAUCCAGCCAUGCCGCGUGAGUGAAGAAGGCCUUAGGGUUGUAAAGCUCUUUCAGCGGGGACGAUGAUGACGGUACCCGCAGAAGAAGCCCCGGCUAACUCCGUGCCAGCAGCCGCGGUAAUACGGAGGGGGCUAGCGUUGUUCGGAAUUACUGGGCGUAAAGGGCGUGUAGGCGGUUUGCCAAGUCAGAUGUGAAAGCCCCGGGCUUAACCUGGGAACUGCAUUUGAGACUGGCAGGCUAGAGGUUGGGAGAGGAGAGUGGAAUUCCCAGUGUAGAGGUGAAAUUCGUAGAUAUUGGGAAGAACACCAGUGGCGAAGGCGGCUCUCUGGUCCACACCUGACGCUGAGGCGCGAAAGCGUGGGGAGCAA